UUGGCGGGGCAACGGCCCACCAAGCCCACGAUAUCUAGGGGUUCUGAGAGGAAGGUCCCCCACAUUGGUACUGAGACACGGACCAAACUCCUACGGGAGGCAGCAGUGAGGAAUAUUGGUCAAUGGACGAGAGUCUGAACCAGCCAAGUCGCGUGAAGGAAGACGGAUCUAUGGUUUGUAAACUUCUUUAGUGCGGGAACAAAGCGGCGUCGUGACGCCGGAUGAGUGUACCGCAAGAAUAAGCAUCGGCUAACUCCGUGCCAGCAGCCGCGGUAAUACGGAGGAUGCGAGCGUUAUCCGGAUUUAUUGGGUUUAAAGGGAGCGCAGGCUGCGGGGCAAGUCAGCGGUCAAAUGUCGGGGCUCAACCCCGGCCUGCCGUUGAAACUGUCCUGCUAGAGUUCGAGUGAGGUAUGCGGAAUGCGUUGUGUAGCGGUGAAAUGCAUAGAUAUGACGCAGAACUCCGAUUGCGAAGGCAGCAUACCAACUCGCGACUGACGCUGAGGCUCGAAAGCGUGGGUAUCGAACAGGAUUAGAUACCCUGGUAGUCCACGCAGUAAACGAUGAAUACUAACUGUUCGGAGGGCGACCUCUGAGUGGUAAAGCGAAAGCGUUAAGUAUUCCACCUGGGGAGUACGCCGGCAACGGUGAAA
rnacentral:rRNA from 1 species